UUAGAUUUACUUUCAGUUAACGUCGAUCACUGUUUGUUGUAGUUGGUAAAUCAGAAACAAAUUGUGAUUUGUAGUUUGACAAUGCAGAACAUUUGUUAUUAAGUAUUCGUGAAUUUGUAGAAUGGUCUUUCCUACGUACCCUGUGAGUCAAAAAAUGUUUAAAGUGUGGCUAAACUCAAAGUAGAAAGACUCCUUGUUUCCGAAGUCAUAAAGUGGUGUCGAAACCCCGCAGAUGUGCUUUUACCUCUGGAGUAAGGUAAAGGUAAAGAAACAUGGAGUAGUGUUAAUACGAAAACAAGACGCUUGAAUUUCCCAUGUUGCCCUGGGGAAAUGACUUUCAUUUCAUAACUACGACCCCUGUUGAUAACCCUCUCCUCCGGGGAAAACCUCCGAUUGGUCAGAAGACUGGCGUCCUGAAGGGCGUCGGUUCGAGAGCCGAGUGGCUUCCCCCAGUCGACCCAGUUGUUGAGUCUGAGUACCUAAAUCCAUACAGGACAGGGCAAGGAAGGAGAGGUGAUGGGAACCCACCUCGCAUAAAAACUGGCCCCGAGACAAGCGAGGUCUACCUCAACCCCCAGCGACCUGAAAACUAUCUUAUCUAAUUCUCAGAGGGUAGCUUUGCUGCCUGCAAAUAGAUGGAACCGUCUGCCUAGCAUCUCCUGGCGACAAAACAUCUCUGGAGCACAAGGAGAAAAUUAAU